rnacentral:rRNA from 1 species
GACGAACGCUGGCGGCGUGCCUAAUACAUGCAAGUAGAACGCUGAAGGAGGAGCUUGCUCUUCUGGAUGAGUUGCGAACGGGUGAGUAACGCGUAGGUAACCUGCCUGGUAGCGGGGGAUAACUAUUGGAAACGAUAGCUAAUACCGCAUAAGAGUAGAUGUUGCAUGACAUUUGCUUAAAAGGUGCAAUUGCAUCACUACCAGAUGGACCUGCGUUGUAUUAGCUAGUUGGUGAGGUAACGGCUCACCAAGGCAACGAUACAUAGCCGACCUGAGAGGGUGAUCGGCCACACUGGGACUGAGACACGGCCCAGACUCCUACGGGAGGCAGCAGUAGGGAAUCUUCGGCAAUGGACGGAAGUCUGACCGAGCAACGCCGCGUGAGUGAAGAAGGUUUUCGGGUUGUAAAGGACUUUUGUCAGGGAAGAAAAGGGCGGGGUUAAUACCCCUGUCUGAUGACGGUACCUGAAGAAUAAGCACCGGCUAACUACGUGCCAGCAGCCGCAGUAAUACGUAGGGUGCGAGCGUUGUCCGGAUUUAUUGGGCGUAAAGCGAGCGCAGGCGGUUAGAUAAGUCUGAAGUUAAAGGCUGUGGCUUAACCAUAGUACGCUUUGGAAACUGUUUAACUUGAGUGCAAGAGGGGAGAGUGGAAUUCCAUGUGUAGCGGUGAAAUGCGUAGAUAUAUGGAGGAACACCGGUGGCGAAAGCGGCUCUCUGGCUUGUAACUGACGCUGAGGCUCGAAAGCGUGGGGAGCAAACAGG